rnacentral:rRNA from 1 species
GACGAACGCUGGCGGCGUGCUUAACACAUGCAAGUCGAACGGAAAGGCCCUGCUUGCCGGGUGCUCGAGUGGCGAACGGGUGAGUAACACGUGGGUGAUCUGCCCUGCACUUCGGGAUAAGCCUGGGAAACUGGGUCUAAUACCGGAUAGGAGCCAUUUUUAGUGUGAGGGUUGGAAAGUUUUUUCGGUGUAGGAUGAGCCUGCGGCCUAUUAGCUUGUUGUUGGGGUAAUGGCCUACCAAGGCGCCGAAGGGUAGCCGGCCAGAGAGGUUGGACGGCCACAUUGGGACUGAGUUACGGCCCAGACUCCUACGGGUGGCAGCAGUGGGGAAUAUUGCUCAAUGGGGGCGAGCCUGAUGCAGCGACGCCGCGUGGCGGAUGACGGCCUUCGGGUGGUAAACUCCGUUCGCUAGGGACGAAGCUUUUUGUGACGGUACCUAGAUAAGAAGCACCGGCUAACUACGUG